CGAGGCGUUGUCGGCGAGUCGGGUUGUUUGGGAAUGCAGCCCUAAUCGGGUGGUAAAUUCCAUCCAAGGCUAAAUACGGGCGAGAGACCGAUAGAGAACAAGUACCGCAAGGGAAAGAUGAAAAGGACUUUGAAAAGAGAGUUAAAGAGUGCUUUUAAUUGCUGGGAGGGAAGCAGAUGGAGGCUGGCGAUGCGUCUCAGUCGGAUGCAGAACGACUCAAGCUGGUCCGUCGCUUGACUCGAGGUGCGAACCAGCACAGGCCGUUGCAUCAGCACAAGCGUGGGUGGAGUACUGCCUGUUGGUUUUUCGUUGUGGCGGUCAAGGAACGAAGCAUGCGCCCUUGGGGCGGGCCACUGUGCACCUGCACGCUCAUGGUGUUGGUUGGCAGGCUUUCCAUUCGACCCGUCUUGAAACAUGGACCAACGAGUCUAACAUGUGUGUGAGUCGGUGGGUUUGUAAACCUACGAGGCGUAAGGAAGCUGACGGGCGAGAACCCCUCUCCACGGGGUGCAUUGCCGACCGACCUUGAGCUUGUGCGAAGGGUUCGAGUGCGAGCACACCUGUUGGGACCC
rnacentral:ncRNA from 1 species